UAUCAGAACCUUGGUAUUUAGUUGUAUUUAAUCUAACAAUCAAGAGUUAAGAUUAAAUGAUAAUCUAAAUGAGUGCUUCUCUUGCCAAAAGGCAAUCGACCAACUAUUCACCUUUGUUCAAUGGAACAAACUAUACAUACUGGAAAGCACGAUACAUAUUUAUAUUCAAGCAGUAGAUUAAUAACUUUGAAGAGUUAUAUUCAAUGGCCCAUAUACUUCUAUAAUUAGAGUAGAUGGAUUUGAUGUCCUCCAGCCCGAAGC
rnacentral:lncRNA from 1 species